rnacentral:rRNA from 1 species
GAUGAACGCUGGCGGCGUGCCUAAUACAUGCAAGUCGAGCGAACAGACGAGGAGCUUGCUCCUCUGACGUUAGCGGCGGACGGGUGAGUAACACGUGGAUAACCUACCUAUAAGACUGGGAUAACUUCGGGAAACCGGAUCUAAUACCGGAUAAUAUAUUGAACCGCAUGGUUCAAUAGUGAAAGACGGUUUUGCUGUCACUUAUAGAUGUAUCCGCGCCGCAUUAGCUAGUUGGUAAGGUAACGGCUUACCAAGGCAACGAUGCGUAGCCGACCUGAGAGGGUGAUCGGCCACACUGGAACUGAGACACGGUCCAGACUCCUACGGGAGGCAGCAGUAGGGAAUCUUCCGCAAUGGGCGUAAGCCUGACGGAGCAACGCCGCGUGAGUGAUGAAGGUCUUCGGAUCGUAAAACUCUGUUAUUAGGGAAGAACAAAUGUGUAAGUAACUAUGCACGUCUUGACGGUACCUAAUCAGAAAGCCACGGCUAACUACGUG